CCGAAGGAGGCGAGCAUCACUCCUUCCCCAUCCCCAGGCCCGCCAGACAUCCCACCUCCACCGCGGCCUCCAACUCGCACCGCGGCAAAGAACUUCGGAAGGGCACAUGCCUUUUGUGUUAACCGAAGGAGCAUCUGGAUUCGGAGCCGUGUACACAGCACGCCGGCAGUGAGGACGGUGUCCAGGAGCCACGGCUGGGCCACUUGGCCAAACCUGCAUCAUGUGGUCUUGCUCCGGGGCUGGCCGGGGGGAGCCCGCGCCUUGGCGAUCAUGAAAUGCGGCUCUGUCCUGCACUGGCCUUGGAAGCCUGGUCAGCAGAUGGCCUUUGCCACGGGGAUGGUGAUGUCACUGUGACCACCAGCGGAUCCCAGCUCAGGCGCCCUGGGUGCUCUCCAACACAGACCCUUUGCUUCAUCUGGGCGCACCAUUCUUCUCCAUUGGCACAUUCUUCACUGGCUACCGUUUUGUUACCUGGGUUGGGAGAAACUUGGAGCAUCCACAGUCCCUCUUGGAAUGCUUCAUGUCGAGACUGGGUUUGCAGUCAUGCUCACAGCGGGUGGAUUUUCGAUGAACAUUUGCUGGAGCCAAAGCUCUAACGGCCUAAGGUACUAUGAUAAGAACACUCCACUGUCACAGAACUGUUGUUGGUUAGCCCAGAAGCACAUGGCGAUGGCAGGCGACGUGGUCAGCCCAGGUGGCCUCCCUGCCCCACUGCUCCCUGUGGAACCCAAGUCCCUAUUGUGGAAUGAGCAACCCACACUCUGUGCUUUCCGCCCAGUUUCACCAUCGCCCAUUUGCACGCCCGCCGGGAUUCCUUAAGAGGCUCGUGCUGUGCUCACAGGCCAGUCUCCAGCACACGCUGCGGGGAUGCGGUGAGCUCCCCACACACCCACCUGGUGAGCGAACAAACGGGUCUCCUUCCAGAGUGUGGCCCGGAUGCUUGGGGUUCCUACUAGGCAGAAGCGGGACACGGAGUGUGCAUUUUGGUGCACGAAUCAUAGGGAGGUGUAAUUCCAGCACAGGAGAGGCAGAAGGAAACCAUGACUUACUUUUUGAUUUGGGGAAUGGGGAGGUGGGUUGGAAGGGAAGAAUGGAUGUAGGAAAGGCACAGCCCUCCACUGGAGCUUAACAAGCAGAAUCCUGCCCCUAGGGCUGGCAUGUGAGCGUGUGGGCUGAGAGUCUUCCCAGUGAAAAGGCUGGGUCCUUGCACUUCACAGAAAAGGUCACCAGCAUCACCAAGUAAGAGCCCCAUUUGGACAGCAGCCAGGAGCAAGACUGGAGGGUUCUGUGGGAGCCACAUCCGGACCUUAAAUCUUCCACUUUUACCUCCUCCUGGUGUCACCUGGUUGGCUCUGCAAGCCCGGGGAGCACGAGCCCAGGUAAGAAUGGCCGAGCGGGCCUGAGGGGACAGUAAGGAAGCCUCACAGGUUCAUGGGAAGAAGAGGAGGGAAGGGAGCGGGGCUGGGGAGAAUGUGGAAAGAGGAAGCCUGGGGUGGCAGUGGCCACACUGGCAGCUGAGCCUCUGCUCCGACAACGCAGACCAGGGGUGUGGUGUGGGGAGCUGCCAGGGUAACGCGGAGUGGGCCAUGCGGGCCUCACUGCAGCUCAGACGGACUUAUCUCCAGGGCCCAGGGCUGGUCUGCAGCCUUACGAGCAUGCUUUGAGCCCCAGCAGCAGGUGCCCUGGUCUCUUUCUAAUGCAUUUAGAAGGCGCCCCGAACACAGACUCCGAGGCCAUGUGGUAAAUAACUCGGCUGUGGGAGGGUGGCCCCUCGAGGCCUGAGGCUCCUGCUUGCCAGCGGCUGCAGGGGAUCCCAGAGACAUCUUCUCAAAAGGCCUCCAAGGCUGGUGGAAACACUGAGGCAGGAAGCAGCCUGGUGUGUGGACCUCAGACUUUCUUAUUUUACCCCGGGGUGUUCGAGGCUUGAGGUCAGAGCCUCACUUUCUCCACCACCAGUCCCCUGGGCAGUCCUGCAGGUAACAGCAGCAGAAAGGAUGGAGGGAGGGGCUUUGAGGGCAGAGAGUGGCUUUGUUAGAGGCGCGGUCUCUGCAGACCCACAGAGCUGGGGACCUGGGGUUACAUUUGCAGGGAACCCACAUGCAAGGAGGGUGUAGAGCCUGUCCUUGAGAGGUCAAAGUACAUGGGGCUUGUUGGUGUGAAGUGACAUUGCCCCCCCGGAAGAUGGGGGCCAUGCACAAAGGAUCACAGUAAUUCUACUCCAAUUAAAGAGAAAGUCCAGCCAAAGAAAUCUUUGCACAAGGAGAUAACACUGCGUGUCCUAGCAGAAGGCAUCCAGUCCUGACGUGAGGAUCCUGGGUUUGAACUCCAGCUCUGUCGUGUGCUGCUGUGUGGCUUUAGGUGCGUUGCUUAACCUCUCUGACCCCCCCCUUGGUCUGUAGAACUGGACAAGCAGCGCUGUGCACAUGGUAGACACUUAGUUAAUAUCACUUAAUCCAGCCCUUCAGAUGACAACACAAACUCCGGUUGGAAAGAAGGUCUCGGCCGGAUGUCCUGUAUAAUCACCUCCAUGCCAAACAGAACUUAGACAAAAACAUCAAAGAUUUGUCUUCAAUGCUUCCAUCCGGACCUUGGGUUUGCCUCUCCCCCACCCCGUGUUUUCAGCAUCUCUUUACACCCAUCGUGCUCCUUACGGCCUCUGGAAAUGGACCCCUCUCUUAUUUCCCUGGUACACCCCACGGUGCAGACAGUAUCUUGCACAGAUGGGCGUUUAAUAUUUAUAAAGCGAUUGAUUUCCAAUGCAAAAGCGCUGGCACUCUUUUCCUCAUUUUAGCUUCCUCCCUUCGGCGGGAAGACCUUUGUGUCUGCAGGCGUGGUGAGGGUUUUCACCAUGACAGCCUGCUGAUGGGAUCAUACACCCUUCAUUUGCACCCACUGUUUUGCUGUGUCUGCAAUUCGGAUCCAAGCACCGAUCUAUCUUGGCCUCUCAAUCGGUCAUGGAUUAGAAGUCCAGAAUCCACAGUCUCUCCAAUUUCUGACCUGCAGGGACAGAGUGAUCUUGUCACAAACCACCCUAAUCCGGUGAGCUGCGGAAAAGCCAGGUGGCCCCACAUUCCAUCGGAAAGAACUCUUCAUUGCUGGCGUUCCCAAACACGGCCUCAGUCUCUUUUUGUGGGGUCCUCCUUUCCCAGGGCAGCCCCCGAGUCUGCAGGGCCUUCUGUAACAUCAAGGACAGUGUGGGCUAGCCACCGGCAUGCUGGAAAUCGGUUCAGUUUGGAAUCCUCAUUCUUUGAAAAUUGAUAGCCUCAUACCAGUCAGCCUUUCUGGAGGACGCUGAGGGCUUCACUCCCUCAUCGUGGAAGGUCACCAGCUGACCUUCGGGGGACACGUUCCUGGACGGAACUGUGGGUGUCUGACACACAGUGGGCACUCAUGCACUAUCAGAGGAGGGGACAGAACGAUGCAGUGACAAAACCCACAACAGAUGGCAUGGGUGGAGGUGGGCAGAGUCUAAGAAAAGAUGGCUAUUGCUCAGAAGGGCUGGAAAAACUACGCUCUGUAAACUCAGCGUGUCACGCGGGGGGUGUCAGCCACCUAAUCUGGGAUUACGCUAGACCGGGCUCGUGCUUCCCAGGAGGAAUGGGACAAUCAAGACUCCGGUGAUGUAAAGCUGCAGGAUGCGUCCGCGGUUGUUGGUUUCAACCGGGCGGCAAAAUGAGAGCGUCGGACUGCUCAGCACCAUUGCUCGCUCAGAAAGGACCCCGGGGCCAACCGCGGCCUCCCGAGCCUUCGGGGACCAAUGACCCAGUUUGUGGGGGUUCCAGAUGCCUGGUUUGUUCCAUUCCCCUCUGUGUCUCAUGAUGUCACCAUUUAUCACAGACAUUUUGGGAAGAAUAAAGCACAGCGCCUACAUCUGGCACUCGUGUUCCCACGAUUAUUGUAACGAUGUUUCCAUGCGGGAUUGGGCAGGAACAGAAGUGAAAUUCAAACCGGUCUGACUUUCUGUCCUGGGGUGUUA